UUAAUCGUGACAAUAAGUUGUGUUUGGAACAUUCGAAUGUAACGUUAUAAGGUAGCAGUCUUAGGAUGGUAAAUUAUAUAAGUCAUUAAACAAAUAACUUUGUUGCACCACAUAUGCAUAGGCUAAUAGCAAAAGUAGCUAAUUAAACUAUUUUUUGUCGCAAAUAAGUUGAUAAUGCAAGAUACAGGGAAAUGCAAGAUUUUCAGUAGCGAUAUGUUACCUAUAUUACACUAGCUCGCAACAAUUAAGCCUCUUUUAGCCAACAUGAUCAGAUGAAGAACAGUGUUGCCAGAUUGGUUUGUUUUCCAGCCCAGUAAUUACUUAAAAUCCACACAAAAUUAUACAAUAAACUCCCAGAAUGAUCUAUAAUAAACAAUACAACUUAAUUCAUACCAGCACUACUUUUGUGGCUUGUCAUGUUUUAAUAUGAAAUAAUAAAUAAUUUAAGUGCUCUUUCAGAUAUUAUAUAGGAGCCUACGAUAGACACUGCGAAUGUAAAAUUAUUUUCCAUUUCUGUACUUUCCCUUAAAAUAGCAAAAUUUCACCUGCCCAAGCCCAUUUUAAUACACAUAGUACAACCCAGAACCAACUAAAUGGGUGGAAAACAUUCUGCCUGACAAGACUGAUGGAGAAUACUGGUGAAAAUGUAAUGCUCUUUAUCUCCUACAGCACACACACACACACACACACACACACACACACACACACACACUGGGGGAAAUCUGUCCUUAAAAGCAAAUGCUGGUCGUAUGAUCUGUAUCCACACAUCCAUCCAGUAAAACCUUUCAUAGAAACUGCCAGUAAACAAUAAAUACGAUAAUUGUUUAUAAACAAAUAAUAUUAUGCUCAUAAAAAUAUGCCAAUUUAGCUGUUUUAUUUAUUCUGCUAUAUAUUAUUACAAAAAUGUGAUUACAGUACAGAAUAUAUAUGACAUAAACUGCUUCACGUUCACAAGGUCACGUUCUUUCUGAUCCCAUUUUUAAACCCUAGUUAGUGUGUAAUGUUGCUUUCAUAGCAUAAAUAAUACCUGUAAAAUGAUAAAGCUGAAAGUUCACUGCCAGUCGAUUUAUUUUCUUUAACAGAAUUUGCCUUUCAAAGCCUACAGCGAACGGCCGGUUUGGACUUCAGCCCUCUACUUUCUGCUUUAAUGAUGUCACUAGAACAGUUUUUUGACUAAACUCCGCCCACAGGAAUACAUCAGUGGCCAGCUAAGCUAACGGUGCGAGCCAAGCCAAUUUUAUUUAUUGGGAAACAGGAUAAAAAGGCUUCGAAUAAGUGGGUUGCAUAUAUUAUUACCCAUUGGCACCCCACUCCUGUCACUACAAUUUUUUGGAGGAGAUGCGGAGGGCUUUAUCUUGACAAAAGCAACCUCCACAGGACAGCAGCCUGAGAGCCUUGCCAUGGAGCGGCCUGAGAGCCCUGCUGUGAAAUGGCCGGAGAACCUCACCAAGAAGUCUAAGGCAAUAUUUGUACUAAAUCUUGUUCAGCUGUCUUCUAGACUCUCUCCAACCUCUCUUGCUCCUACAACCUCUACUGCUUUUACAACAAUUUUCUCUCCACUUUUUUUCCCCACCUCCACUGCCAUGCUCUAAGUUUUUGCCACAGAGGAAGAGGAAGAUAAAGAAAUCUACCUCUUCCCACUAUACCACACUUGUCUCUCUUCAAUUUGCAUCUGUCUCUUCCAGUUCUAAAUCUCAGAAGUGGCCACUGGUGAAGAACAGAAUAAAGGAUAACUUUUCCUGUUACAUCUUACUCCACAAUUUGCUCCUAGUCAAAUAUGUCUUCAUGUUAAUUAAAUUCAUUUAGCUAACCAGGUAUUUGUUAGCCAGUUCACAGUGUUUUAGAGCCCAAUGUCCAAGGACUGUGGUCAAUGUAAAUUCCUGACUUAAAUGGACACUUCACUUUUUUUUGCUAAUUUUCCAGCAGUAAGUUUUACCGUUUUAGAAUCCAUUCAGCUGAUCUCCGCGUCUGGCACUACCUUUUUUAGCAUAGCUUAGCAUAAUACAUUGAAUCUGAUUAGGCCAUUAGCAUCACGCCAAAAAAUAACCAAAGAGUUUCGAUAUUUUUCCUAUUUAAAACUUGACUCUUCUGUAGUGACAUCGUGUACUAAGACAGACGGAAAAUUAAAAGUUGUGAUUUUCUCAGCUGAUAUUUCUAGGAACUAUACUCUUAUUCUGUCGUAAUAAUCAAGGACUUUGCUGUCGUAACAUGGCUGCAGAAGGCAUAAUGAUAUAACGCAGUGCCCGAAAAUAGUCCCCUUAGUAUCUUUCAAUAGCAGGGGACUUUUUUCGGGCACUGCGUAAUAUCAUUUUGGUUGAUUGACAAAAACAAGCACAAAUUUGUUUGACACUAAUGGAAAGGACUGCAUAUCACUUCACAUAAAUAUGGACUCAUGUGAUUCACCUACAAAGUAGUGCUGGGCGAUUUGGCCUAAAAAUAAAAUCUCAGAUUUUAUUUUUUUUAAUUCGACUUCCGAUUUUUUCCGAUUUUCCCCCCCCACUUGUUAAGAAAAGCAAUAAGUACAAACGGCAGACAACUUAAAGCAAAUUUAGCUUUUAUUUAAUCAAAAGCAAGACAAAUGAUUUUAUUCCUUUCUUUGGAACAAACUUCCCACUCUCGCCGGUAGCCAUGUUGUCACUUGCUGUUGCCGUUUCGUGUGUUUGUGCUAUGAUGAUGAUGUUGUCGCUUGCUGAUGCUGUUUCACGUGUGCUAUGAUGUUGCUGAUGUUGCUAUAAUAACGCUACGGAAGCCCCGGGCAGCCAAAAAUGCGCCAUUACAAAAAAAUCGAAUUACUUAUUUUUUAAAUCGCCCACAACAAAAAAUUCGAAUUAAUUCAUUAAAUCGAUUUUUCGCCCAGGCCUACUACAAAGCAUGGCAUUCAUGGCUUAAUAAACUUUUUGUCUUUUCAUCAUUUCAGGUUGCUGAAAAUGUAGAUGGCAGAAGGUUUCCUUUUCGAUAAAAUAACUGAGGAACAGAUAAAUGAGAGGAAAGCCGAAUUGAAAGUUCACUGGUUACGUGCUCUGUGUGUGGAAAAACCUGGGAUGACACAUAGGAGCCUGCCAGCAAAUUCCAACACAAGUCCCCACAUCCCAACCAGUUUUCAGCAUGACAGCCUACACCUUUACAUUAUCAAGCACCCUUCAACUGUUUAAUUUUGAGUGUCUUUGCUUGCUGUUCUUUAUUAAAGUUUUUGCACAGUA